UGAGAAAAGAGCUGCACAGAUGCCAGAUAAACCGUCCACUCCACCUGUAAAAAAGAGAACAGUCACCUACAGAAAAGAGCCCAGUGAGGCUGGGUCUGCAGAGAUGGAGCCCCCACCUUCUGCAAGAGAAAAAUUGCCACCUAAAAAAAAAACCUGCAAGCAAUCACCCCUCACCCCAACACAUUUAUUUGACGCUGCCACUGCAGUGAGAAGGCGACUGCAGACCAGUCCAUGAUGCAGGAGCUGGAUGGCAUUGUGACAGAAGCCCGAAACCUGGAGGCUCAUCUUAAGGAGAAGAAAAAGCUUCUGAGACAAACACUGGCGUUGAUUUCUGAUAAACUAGUUUGUAAUUAAGGGUAAACGUUGUAAUGGGGCA
ensembl:lncRNA